rnacentral:lncRNA from 1 species
UGGGGAAGUAAAAUAUUAUCCUCUUAAGAUGGAAUGUGAAUGAUUUAUGUUUGUAAAUGAUAUUUUGCUGCUAGUCUGUUAUUGCUUCUGGGCUGAUGCAUAUUCUAUCCUCAUUCACAAACAAUAUCUAAUGAGGAAUGAACAGUAUCAAGACUUUGUUCCCCAGCACAGUACUUCUGGUUACUCCAAGCUGUUUCCUUACCUUCUGUGUUGGUGGAGAGGAACGAGGCAUUUGCACGGAAUGGAGGCACCAAAGACGGACUGUCCUCUUCAGAGCACAGUGAGGCAGGCAAGGCUAGGUCUUGUAAAUGAAGUUACUGCUGUUUCCUCUGCGUUUUCUACCGUCUCUGGUUUAUUUCUUGGGCACACCAAUGUUCAUAGUUCAAAUACAUAUUUGAUUCAAUCUUAUAUGAGCUUCAAUAAGGAAAAUCCGGAAGUUUCUGCCCUAAGGCAAACAUAAAAGGUUGAGUUAAGGCAGUGAAUGAACUCUUGUUGCAGAAAGCAGUAUCUUCCCAGAUACCGUGACCAUCUUGCAGUCUGCAAAUAAGUACAGAGAGCAGUCUUAAGUGUGUGUUCAGUUAUGUAAGAGCAAGGAAAGCAAGCCUAGAUAAGAAUAUGCAUUUGAAGAAAGGUUGUUUUAUUACACAGGACAUAGGUAAAUCCAUAAAGGAAAAUCAUCUGUCUUUCAUGGCACAGCAAAAAGGUACAAGCAAAUCUUCAGCCGUUCCUUAAAACUUUUCACAAACCAUGUAUGCAUGUUACUUACUUUUAAUGAACUGCAAUGGCUUGUAUUAAUCAGAAA